GAUGAACGCUGGCGGCGUGCCUAAUACAUGCAAGUCGAGCGAACAGACGAGGAGCUUGCUCCUCUGACGUUAGCGGCGGACGGGUGAGUAACACGUGGAUAACGUACCUAUAAGACUGGGAUAACUUCGGGAAACCGGAGCUAAUACCGGAUAACAUGUUGAACCGCAUGGUUUAACAGUGAAAGACGGUCUUGCUGUCACUUAUAGAUGGAUCCGCGCCGCAUUAGCUAGUUGGUAAGGUAACGGCUUACCAAGGCAACGAUGCGUAGCCGACCUGAGAGGGUGAUCGGCCACACUGGAACUGAGACACGGUCCAGACUCCUACGGGAGGCAGCAGUAGGGAAUCUUCCGCAAUGGGCGAAAGCCUGACGGAGCAACGCCGCGUGAGUGAAGAAGGUCUUCGGAUCGUAAAACUCUGUUAUUAGGGAAGAACAAAUGUGUAAGUAACUAUGCACGUCUUGACGGUACCUAAUCAGAAAGCCACGGCUAACUACGUG
rnacentral:rRNA from 1 species